rnacentral:rRNA from 1 species
UACGUAGGGUCCGAGCGUUGUCCGGAAUUACUGGGCGUAAAGGGCUCGUAGGUGGUUUGUCGCGUUGUUCGUGAAAACUCACAGCUCAACUGUGGGCGUGCGGGCGAUACGGGCAGACUAGAGUACUGCAGGGGAGACUGGAAUUCCUGGUGUAGCGGUGGAAUGCGCAGAUAUCAGGAGGAACACCGGUGGCGAAGGCGGGUCUCUGGGCCGUAACUGACGCUGAGGAGCGAAAGCAUGGGGAGCGAACAGG